UCUGGCCUUGGGGCUUUGUCCUCUCCAAUGCUUAAGAGGGCAACUUUGAUUUCCUCAUUUGAAAUUGGCCUUAUAAGGCAGUCUGCUUGAUCUGCUUCCAGAAGCUUCCCUUGCAUAACAGUGUCCCUACUAAGUCUAGUGCAUUCACUUUUUGUUCCCAUCAAUCUCCUAUAAUACUAGACAAAAGCUUCUCCAACUUGGUUUUUGGAUAAAGUUCGGCUCCCAUCCUCAAGAGAGAUGGAAGCUAUGUGAUUCUUGGCUUGAUUGCUUUUUAUCAGAGUAUGGAAAAAUUUGGUACCCUUGUCGCAGUUCUUCAGAUACUUUGAUUUUGCUAGCUAAGAACAGUAGCUAAGUUCUGCCUUAGCAAGCUUAAGGGCCUU
rnacentral:lncRNA from 1 species